UGAAUACGAGACGCUAAGGCGUCGAAGUAGUGUAUGUCAUACUUCCAAGAAAAGCUUGCACUGUCAUAGAUAAAAAACGCCUGUACCAUAACCGACACAGGUGGGUAGGUAGAGUAUACUAAGGGGCGCGAGAUAACUCUCUCUAAGGAACUCGGCAAAAUAACUCCGUAACUUCGGGAGAAGGAGUGCCUUAUUAUUAAGGCUGCAAUAACAAGAUCCAAGCAACUGUUUAUCAAAAACACAGGUCUCCGCUAAGUCGUAAGACGAUGUAUGGGGGCUGACGCCUGCCCAGUGCCAGAAGGUUAAAGAAGUUGGUUAGCAUUUGCGAAGCUGAUAACUGAAGCCCUGGUGAACGGCGGCCGUAACAAUAACGGUCCUAAGGUAGCGAAAUUCCUUGUCGGGUAAGUUCCGACCCGCACGAAAGGCGUAAUGAUUUGGAUACUGUCUCGGAGAGGGGCUCGGUGAAAUAGACUUGUCUGUGAAGAUGCGGACUACCUGCACCAGGACAGAAAGACCCUAUGAAGCUUUACUGUAACUUGAAAUUGAAAUUGGACUUUAUUCGCGCAGCAUAGGUGGGAGGCGUUGAUUAUAAUCUUGUGGGAUUAUUGGAGCCAUCAGUGAGAUACCACUCUUGUAAUGUUAGAUUUCUGACUUUGAAUCAUUAUCUGGUCAAAGAACAGUUUCAGGCGGGCAGUUUGACUGGGGCGGUCGCCUCCUAAACGGUAACGGAGGCGUACAAAGGUUUCCUCUGAACGGUUAGAAAUCGUAUCUAGAGUGUAAAGGCAUAAGGAAGCUUGACUGUGAGACCUACAAGUCGAGCAGGGACGAAAGUCGGUCUUAGUGAUCUGACGGUACUGAGUGGAAAGGCCGUCACUCAACGGAUAAAAGUUACUCUAGGAUAACAGGCUGAUCUCCCCCAAGAGUUCACAUCGACGGGGAGGUUUGGCACCUCGAUGUCGGCUCAUCGCAUCCUGGGGCGGUAGUACGUCCCAAGGGUUGGGCUGUUCGCCCAUGAAAGCGGUACGCGAGCUGGGUUCAGAACGUCGUGAGACAGUUCGGUCCAUAUCCGGUGUAGGCGUUAGAAUAUUGAGAGGAGCCUUCUUUAGUACGAGAGGACCGAGAAGGACAUACCUCUGGUGUACCAGUUAUCGUGCCAACGGUAAACGCUGGGUAGCUAUGUAUGGAGUGGAUAACCGCUGAAAGCAUCUAAGUGGGAAGCCCACCUCAAGAUAAGUAUUCUCA
rnacentral:rRNA from 1 species